GACGCUGCCCGGCGCGGUGGGGCUGUGAGCAAAACGGCCCGCCGGUGUGGUUGCCCAGACUGUGCUGGGCCCUCCUAGGUGGAUGGCCCUGCCCCAGCCUAACUUCUGUACCCCAGCAUAACCUCCAAAGUAACAGCCGUGCCCUGGGAGCCUGUUCAACACUGAACAUAUCCCACAAUAACACUGUUCCAGCGUCGCUGGUAAAAAGCAGAAAUGGCUUCGCUGGAGGCAUCGACAAAUCUAAUGCAGUAACCUCAUUUUACAGAAGAGAACUCUAAGAGGAUAACUAACUUGGCCAAGAUCACAUGAUGAGAACACAGAAGCUUAGAGAAGUUUAGUCGCUUGC
rnacentral:lncRNA from 10 species